CCGCCCUUAGCUCAGCUGGAUAGAGCGUCCCCCUCCUAAGGGGAAGGUCUCAGGUUCAAAUCCUGAAGGGCGGGCCA
rnacentral:tRNA from 3 species